rnacentral:lncRNA from 1 species
CAUCAUUCUAACAAAAUAACAAAGAGAUUCUCAUAAACAUAUCAUUACAAACAUGAAGGACUAAAUGAAAGGAAUACAAAAGUUGAGAUAAAACCCUUUUAAAUACGAAUUGUAAUUCCUUCAAUGUAUUCUUCAAGCUUUCCUUAAUGAGCUCCUUGCUAUAUCCACUUGAUUCCCAAAAUAAAACUAAAAUUAACAAAAGAAAAUAAAACUAAAAGAAAAAAAACCAAGAAAAAGAGAGAGAGAGACCGAGAGAUAGAGAAAAGAGUGAAAGAGUUGGGAAAUUUUUUUUACCUACCAAGUUAUAUUAGUAUAUAUAUGGAAUAUGUAUAAGAUAUAAUAUAAAAAAAAAAAAAAGAUAUUAUUAGACACAACAUAAAUAUUCUAAAAAUAUCUAGCAUAAAAUAAGGAUAGAAUAAUAAAAAGGUUAACCAAAAAAUCUCGAAAUUGUAGAUCAGGUCCUUCAACUUUCGUUUAGUGCAAUUUGGUCCUCGAAAUUUGACUUUUAUUACAUUUAGGCCCUUCCAUAAUUGCAUUUCAAGUCCUCAGCUUCACAAUUUUGUUCAAUUUAAGUCCUUUUCCUUCUCUUUUUGCUCAUUAUACUUCUUUCCGGGUUUUAG